rnacentral:rRNA from 1 species
CCUACGGGUGGCUGCAGUGAGGAAUAUUGGUCAAUGGUCGGGAGCCUGAACCAGCCAAGUAGCGUGAGGGAUGAAGGCACAACGGGUCGUAAACCGCUUUUGCACGGGGACAACACCCUCCACGUGUGGAGGUCUGCGGGUACCGGACGAAUAAGGGCCGGCUAAUUCCGUGCCAGCAGCCGCGGUAAUACGGAAGGCCCGAGCGUUAUCCGGAUUCAUUGGGCUUAAAGGGUGCGUAGGCGGGCGUUUAAGUCAGCUGUAAAAUCCCGGGGCUCAACCGCGCCCCGCCGUUGAAACUGGACGCCUUGAGUUCACAACAGGCAGGCGGAAUUCGUGGUGUAGCGGUGAAAUGCAUAGAUAUCACGAGGAACCCCGAUUGCGAAGGCAGCCUGCCGGGGUGCGACUGACGCUGAGGCUCGAAGGUGCGGGUAUCAAACAGGAUUAGAUACCCCGGUAGUC